CAAAGUAUAAUCAGGAAUUUCUUAAUAAACGAUUUAACAACUCAACAGCAAGCAUACCACGAAUACUGCACGUUCUCGUAAAUGCAAGUGCCCUUUCAUGCUGGGAUAUAUAAAUACAGCUGGUGAUGCAAUAGCAGUUGUAACAUGUGCACCGCUUAAGUGAUGACCGUUUAUAUAUCAGUGUGGUUGAAACAUACGAGGACUGUGGUUACAAGUGAUUUGGAGACUUGCUACAACAGCGAUAAUGUGGCUGGUUCAGUUAUCCACGGAUUAUUUUCUCUUGUUAAUCACUCUACCAGCGUGGAUGGCACAAGAAAGUUUCGGCUACAUAAUGGAUUCCCGACCCCAACAGACAUUUCCGUUUCCGGUUAUCGGACAAAUGUAUCCUACGGGAAAGCAUCUAAAUCCUAAGAAAUUAUUCAGACGUCUUGGAAAUAGUUUUGAUCCAGAAUGGAUGUCUGUGACAGAUCCAAGCGAAAAUAAGUUGUUCCAAAACUCGUCUGUUCACGAAUCUCAUCCAAAUGAUUUGUACGCAUACUCCAUGACACGAGCAAAAGUUUCCGAUAUUUUGCGGGAUAAAUAUAACCUUGGAGUCAAUAUCGAAUCUUUGGACGUGAUUGUUAAUUUUUUGCACGAGCUUUCCACGUGUCACGUGAAAUACAUUUGGGAAGAUUUAGGGCAGUUGUUUUGGCCUCGUUUUGUGAAAAAAGGUUCAUGUGAUUCUUCUGGUCCCUGUUCGUGGCCCCCAGGCAUGAGAUGCCAAAAAGGUAAAGCUAAGGAACUCAAAUUUUUAAGGUGGAUCUGCAAAAAAGGUCGACGAAAAAGCGUGGGACGAAAAGAGAAAGUAAAUUUCACCAACAAACGACACAACCGGAAAACAAAGCACGUGAGACUCGGUGAUAAGGUAAAAUGUAAGUGGAGAAAAAUUCCGUACGAAAUAAUAACGUCUUGUGUUUGCAAGUGCGAUUAGACCAUAGAUGUUUGAAAGUUGCUCAGAUGAAAAAGCAGACAACCGAAAACAUCUUUUUUGUGUAUGUUGAUCUUUGUAUUGUUUUGUUUAACUAGUCUGUUUAAUCAUUUAUAAAUAUAAGUCUUG